CAGUAGCCGCGGGAACACGAAGGGUGCAAGCGUUACUCGGAAUUACUGGGCGUAAAGCGUGCGUAGGUGGUGGUUUAAGUCCGUUGUGAAAGCCCUGGGCUCAACCUGGGAAUUGCAGUGGAUACUGGGUCACUAGAGUGUGGUAGAGGAUAGUGGAAUUUCCGGUGUAGCAGUGAAAUGCGUAGAGAUCGGAAGGAACAUCUGUGGCGAAGGCGACUAUCUGGGCCAACACUGACACUGAGGCACGAAAGCGUGGGGAGCAAUCAGGAUUAGAUACCCGUGUAGUCCCUGUCUCUUAUAC
rnacentral:rRNA from 1 species